UCCGUGCAAUAAGAUCUUUGAGAACAAUGGUUACCCUAGGAUGUUUUUGAACAGAUGUCGGCAUUCUCUAACUUCUGACCAAGUCGACGAGUUCCCACAAAUAAGAACAUCGACAUUAGUCGAACCUGCCACACAUGACAAAUAUGUAAGCCUGCCCCUCAUUCCACCAUUAACAGGUAAAUUGACCAAAAUUCUAAAAGAAAUUGAGAACAUAAAAAUUGCGAAGUACAAUCCUUUAGUAGUAGGCGUUCUUUUCAGCCAAACUAAAGAUAGGAUCCACACCAUGUCUAGAUCUGACGUGGUUUAUCGCAUUCCAUGUGAGAACUGUGAGUCUGUGUAUGUUGGACAGACAUCACAAUGUUUGAAAAGACGUAUCUCAAUACAUAAGAGUGACGCCAGAUUACGACCUGAUAGAUGUGCAUUAGCUAGCCAUUCGUCCUCUCUAGACCACCAUUUUAAGUUUGAUGAAGUUGAAAUAUUAUGUACCAAUUCUAACUAUAAUAAAAGAAGUUUCCUUGAAAUGUGUUUUAUAAAUGAAAAUGAAAAUAAUAUAAAUAAGAAGACUGACUUGAAGAAUUUAAGUGUUGUAUAUAGUUAUUUGUUAUCCUUAGAUCGUAGGCCAUCUAGACAAACAUGACUUUAUGUCACUUUGUGAAUUGUUGUUUUCUCUGUGUUCCCCUGUUCUGUGAGUUUUAACCUUUAAAAUUGACAUAUGCAUUACGGCAACGUUUCUGAUAUUUCUACGAUUAUUGUAUUUUUAUUGAAUUUUAUGAGUAGAAGACCAAUUAUAGCUGCACUUAUCAUCUUAAAUAACACUGUCCAGUCAGAUCAUCCUGAAGAAGAAACGCAUAUUGUUUCGAAAUAUAGAUGAAUAGACUAUAGACUGUUGAUCUUUUCUAAAUUGCCUAGAUACCCAACCACACCUCCUUACUUUAUUCGGCAAAUAAUUUAUCUCACUGAAUUAUACAGAAAUGGGUUUCUUUGAUGACGUAGGUUUAGCGUAUGGUAGAACUGCGUCUAAACAGAUGAGACUAUGGGCUCAUUUGAACACCAAAUUGGCGAAGUUGGCUUGUAGAAGAAACUUCUUGCUCCAUUGCAGAACGACCGGUAUUUUACCCAGACAUAUCGUCCAGAACAUCAAAUGUUUGACCAACCUCUUAUCAGAUGAUGCCGAAAACAACAGAAAGGUUAGUCUUUUUAACAAAAAAAUAUCUACCAGAAUUCUUAACAUGGAGAUUUCCUUCACCAUAAAGAAAAUCAAUAAUUUUUCUUCCACUUUGGAAUACCUGAAAACUGAAUUGUUGGUACUCGUUCCAACUAACAUCCUUGAACGAUUUUACAUUUCACAGAACCGAUCAUACAAGAAAGUAUUUUCCAACAACAAGAAGCUUCUUGAAAAGAAGUUCCUUGCACUAAAAAAACGAAAAAUCCAGUCCAUCCAAAUCAGAGAUGAAUGGCUUUGCAAUCUCACUACUACACAGAUUCCCACAGAAGUUAAGGUUAUCUUGAGUCUGGGACCUCCAUUUGGUGUGGCUCCCCUUCCUGUUAAAGACAUACCUAUCAAGAAUAUUGUGGCAGAUGUAGAGAACAUAAUCAACUUGGCUCCUAUCACCAGGCAGAAUAUCUUGAGGGCUAAAUGCACUAAUGCUAUUACCAACUUCGUGCACAAUUCAAAGAUGACACAUGACUUUGAACACUACCUUUUGACCAAUGCUAGAAGAUUUGUCAAGACACACGAUGACUUGGUUAUCACUCCUGCUGACAAAGGUAACAUCACAGUAAUACUUUCCACAGAACAGUAUGAACAGAAAAUGAACCAGCUUCUACAAGACUCGUCAGUUUACAAACAAUUAAGGAGAGACCCUACCAAUGAAUUUCAAUGUAAAAACAACAAAAUUGUCAAACAACUGAAAGACAAAGGUUUUAUUGAUGCUUCCAUGGCCAGAAAAUUAACCACCUAUAAAGCGAUUCCACCAAGAAUAUAUGGACUUCCUAAAGUACACAAAGCAGACAUCCCAUUGAGGCCCAUCGUCUCCACAAUUGGCUCAGCGUCAGUUGAACUCAGUCAAUUUAUGACACAGAUUCUCACAGAAGCAUUCUCAGAUUUCCAUGAUUAUACCAUAGCUGACUCUUUCCAAUUUGCUUCCAAAAUUAAUAACUUUAUAUUACCCCAAGGGUAUAAACUCAUUUCCUUAGAUGCUGUCAGUUUAUUCACGAAUAUUUCACUAGAGCUAGUUAUACAAAUUAUCCAACAGGAAUGGUCCAGAGUAAGUCAGGUCACAACCAUAGAUAUAUCUCUUUUUAUAAUAAUCAUAAAGUUUUUGUUUGAGUCCAGCUAUUUUGUUUUCAAGGGUUCCUUCAUUUCACAAAUCUUUGGCUGUGCAAUGGGGAGUAAAAUCAGUCCCAUUUUGGCUAAUAUAGUCAUGUCAGUGCUUUUGAAAUAUUGCAUUCCUCUACUGCCCUUCCAGGUGCCGAUUACCUAUCAAUAUGUUGAUGACCUUCUCCUUGCUAUUCCCGAAGACAGGACUGCUACGACUUUGGCAGUUUUCAAUAACUACGACCCACACAUUAAGUUUACUGCAGAAGAAGAAACUGAAAAUGGUGUCCCAUUCCUUGACACCAAAGCUAUCAGGUGUGCAGGUAACAUUGUAAAAUUGGAUUGGUACCAAAAACCGACCUCUUCAGGUCGCUAUAUACAUUAUAGUUCCAACCAUUCUUGGGCUAUGAAAACUAACUUAAUUAAAGGUAUGUUUCGUAGAAUUAAGAAAAUCUGCCAUCCAGACUUUCUUCAUAACAGUGAAGAAAAGUUGCUUAAGAUCUUUGAGAACAAUGGUUACCCUAGGAUGUUUUUGAACAGAUGUCGGCAUUCUCUAACUUCUGACCAAGUCGACGAGUUCCCACAAAUAAGAACAUCGACAUUAGUCGAACCUGCCACACAUGACAAAUAUGUAAGCCUGCCCCUCAUUCCACCAUUAACAGGUAAAUUGACCAAAAUUCUAAAAGAAAUUGAGAACAUAAAAAUUGCGAAGUACAAUCCUUUAGUAGUAGGCGUUCUUUUCAGCCAAACUAAAGAUAGGAUCCACACCAUGUCUAGAUCUGACGUGGUUUAUCGCAUUCCAUGUGAGAACUGUGAGUCUGUGUAUGUUGGACAGACAUCACAAUGUUUGAAAAGACGUAUCUCAAUACAUAAGAGUGACGCCAGAUUACGACCUGAUAGAUGUGCAUUAGCUAGCCAUUCGUCCUCUCUAGACCACCAUUUUAAGUUUGAUGAAGUUGAAAUAUUAUGUACCAAUUCUAACUAUAAUAAAAGAAGUUUCCUUGAAAUGUGUUUUAUAAAUGAAAAUGAAAAUAAUAUAAAUAAGAAGACUGACUUGAAGAAUUUAAGUGUUGUAUAUAGUUAUUUGUUAUCCUUAGAUCGUAGGCCAUCUAGACAAACAUGACUUUAUGUCACUUUGUGAAUUGUUGUUUUCUCUGUGUUCCCCUGUUCUGUGAGUUUUAACCUUUAAAAUUGACAUAUGCAUUACGGCAACGUUUCUGAUAUUUCUACGAUUAUUGUAUUUUUAUUGAAUUUUAUGAGUAGAAGACCAAUUAUAGCUGCACUUAUCAUCUUAAAUAACACUGUCCAGUCAGAUCAUCCUGAAGAAGAAACGCAUAUUGUUUCGAAAUAUAGAUGAAUAGACUAUAGACUGUU